rnacentral:rRNA from 1 species
GCAGCCGCGGUAAUACGGGGGAUGCAAGCGUUAUCCGGAUUUAUUGGGUUUAAAGGGUGCGUAGGCUGUCCGGUAAGUCAGCGGUGAAAUUUAGGGGCUCAACCUCUACCGUGCCGUUGAUACUGUCGGGCUAGAAUGCGGAUGCCGUGGGAGGAAUGUGUGGUGUAGCGGUGAAAUGCAUAGAUAUCACACAGAACACCGAUUGCGAAGGCAUCUCACGAAUCCGCAAUUGACGCUGAUGCACGAAAGCGUGGGGAUCAAACAGGAUUAGAUACCCC